rnacentral:rRNA from 1 species
AGAGUUUGAUCAUGGCUCAGGAUGAACGCUAGCGGCAGGCCUAAUACAUGCAAGUCGAACGGUAACAUGAGAGCUUGCUCUUGAUGACGAGUGGCGCACGGGUGCGUAACGCGUAUGCAACCUACCCUUUACUGGAGGAUAGCCCGGAGAAAUUCGGAUUAAUACUCCAUAGUAUCAUAAGACAGCAUUGUUUAAUGAUUAAAGAUUUAUUGGUAAAGGAUGGGCAUGCGUGACAUUAGUUAGUUGGUGAGGUAACGGCUCACCAAGACGAUGAUGUCUAGGGGUUCUGAGAGGAUGAUCCCCCACACUGGUACUGAGACACGGACCAGACUCCUACGGGAGGCAGCAGUAGGGAAUAUUGGUCAAUGGGCGAGAGCCUGAACCAGCCAUGCCGCGUGUAGGAAGACGGCCUUCUGGGUUGUAAACUACUUUUAUAUAGGAACAAAGAGGCCAUGCGUGGCAAGUUGAGUGUACUAUAUGAAUAAGCACCGGCUAACUCCGUGCUAGAGUGAA